CGGCGCUCACGCGUCAGAAGGCUCUGGGCGCAACCACUGCCUUGGUGAAAUCAGAAGCCCGGAGUCACAGUGGAUCACAAUGGAUCCAUUCACAAUGGAUCGUGCUAUUGGACCGUGUCGGGGGGCGGAGUCUUCAAAAUCCAGAAAGCAUUUUACACUUACAGCACACCCCAGUCGGACUAGCCAGAUUUCACAUGCUCAGUGGCUGCACAUGACUCGUGGCUGCCACACCGGUCAGCACAGAUCUCGAGUUCGCCCUUGAAAGUGGGGUUAGGCUUGCCACCAAGGAGUGCAUCUCCCCAGACUCCCUGGGCACCCCAGUGUGUGGCUCUCUCUUCCUACAGUGGAGAUCUGUUAGACCUGGAGAACAAAAGGUGUCUGUGCGGUACUGACGUCUCCUGACAGAUCGUUCCAGUUAUGUUAUCACAUGUCUGCUUUGAAGUACUGAGUCUGCUUCUCUUGAAAGAAAGUGGUAAUUAUUCUGUGAGCUGUCUGAUCUACUACAGCUCAUGUUUGGGAACUUUCUGGGCCUGCACACACCUGACCCCGUCUUUAUUAUGGCUGAUGGGAGGGUCUGCUCAGCUAGGGCCCUUGGCCUACUGUGCUAACGAUGGGGCUGCUUUCCUGGAAAGAUCUCUGAGCCCCCAAAAUGGUUGUUUGUGUAUGGAUGGGAAACAAUGAAAGAGCAAAACUUUUCCUAUAGGAGGGUCCCGAGGCAAAUACUAUUGCCCUAAAACUUUCAGUGGCCGAGCCAGAGACAAGGGGGAAAGUCACCUGUUUUAAUAACUCAGUAGAUCUAGAAUACAUUCUCCUGUGUGUUUGUUUAUGCACUUAGAUGUGCCUCAUGGCUUCCCAGGGUGCUGUCGUUCUACUGGUCGGUGGAUUGAGAACCUGAAUUCCCCUGAUCCCUUGUUGGGGUCCUCUCCAUUGAGACAGAAGGUGGGGUCAGUAAUCACUGCCUGUAUGCUCCACUUCCCACUGUCAGGCUGAGCUGUGGCUGACACUAGGUUGUGGCAGGGUUCUACUGCCUUCUAUUUUUUUAGUAUUUACUUAUUUGGCUCCUCUUAGUUGUGACACGUGGGAUAUUCAGUCUCUGUUGCAGCAUGUGGGAUGUAGUUCCCUGAUCAGGGAUUGAACCCAGGCCCCAUGCAUGGGGGACGUGUCAUCUUCACCACUGAACCACUAGGUCAGUCCCCCGCCUUCGGUUUUUUAACACACUUGGGAGAAUCAUGAGUGAAGGAAGUUGUGCACCACAGUCCUUCACUGCCUUCUAACAUGAAUACUGCUUGUUAACGUCAUGGGGAACUUCUCUGGGCUAAAAAGAGGCUUGACAUAGGUGAACCCAGCAAAGUGGAGGUUAUUAUCAUGGGGAAAUGAGACCAUGGGAGGGAGGCUCACAGAAU